rnacentral:rRNA from 1 species
UACAUGUGGGGCAAGCGUUGUUCGGAAUUACUGGGCAUAAAGGGUGCGUAGGCGGCUUGAUAAGUCAGUGGUGAAAUCGUCCGGCCCAACCGGACACGUGCCAAUGAUACUGUCGAGCUUGAGUGCGUGAGGGGUGGGGGGAACGAGCAGUGUAGCGGUGAAAUGCGUAGAUAUUGCUCGGAAGGCCAAAGCCGAAGGGACCCCCACUGGUACGCAACUGACGCUGAGGCACGAAAGCGUGGGGAGCAAACAGG